rnacentral:rRNA from 1 species
GGUGAACACUGGCGGUAGGCCUAACACAUGCAAGUCGAACGGCAGCACAGGAGAGCUUGCUCUCUGGGUGGCGAGUGGCGGACGGGUGAGGAGUACAUCGGAAUCUACUUUUUCGUGGGGGAUAACGUAGGGAAACUUACGCUAAUACCGCAUACGACCUACGGGUGAAAGCAGGGGAUCUUCGGACCUUGCGCGAUUGAAUGAGCCGAUGUCGGAUUAGCUAGUUGGCGGGGUAAAGGCCCACCAAGGCGACGAUCCGUAGCUGGUCUGAGAGGAUGAUCAGCCACACUGGAACUGAGACACGGUCCAGACUCCUACGGGAGGCAGCAGUGGGGAAUAUUGGACAAUGGGCGCAAGCCUGAUCCAGCCAUACCGCGUGGGUGAAGAAGGCCUUCGGGUUGUAAAGCCCUUUUGUUGGGAAAGAAAUCCAGCUGGUUAAUACCCGGUUGGGAUGACGGUACCCAAAGAAUAAGCACCGGCUAACUUCGUGCCAGCCGCCGCGGUAA